rnacentral:lncRNA from 1 species
CUUGAAGAAGAGAAGAUGUUUUAAAGAAAGCUGACUGCUGGGAAAUGAAUGAAGGUGACAUCUCUACAAAAAGAGAAGUACCCUGUAGUGUUGGUAUGAAUGAAGUCAUUCAUUUUUCACUGAGCACUGACUUCAUGCUGAGACCUAAGCAACAAUUGUGGAACAAUGGACUUAGCAGUAAUUUAUUAUGGCAGACACUCUUCUCACCUUUUGACAGAGAACGUUGAUUAGAUGUCCAAAAGUGCCCGGUGUCCAAAAGUGUGAUAGAAAACAUGGAGAAGGUAUCAUCACCGUUUCACAGAUGCCUACAUUCCAGAG